GCCUGGGUGGCUUAAUUGGUUAAGCGUCCGACUCUUGGUUUUGGCCCACAGUUCGUGGGUUCGAGCCCCGCGUCAGGCU
rnacentral:tRNA from 1 species